rnacentral:rRNA from 1 species
CGCAAGUCCGUCGGGAAAUCCAUCGGCUCAACCGAUGGGCGUCCGGCGGAAACUGCGUGGCUUGGGACCGGAAGGCUCGAGGGGUACGUCCGGGGUAGGAGUGAAAUCCCGUAAUCCUGGACGGACCACCGAUGGCGAAAGCACCUCGAGAAGACGGAUCCGACAGUGAGGGACGAAAGCUGGGGUCUCGAACCGGAUUAGAUACCCGGGUAGUCCCAGCCGUAAACGAUGCCAGUUAGGUGUGGCACAGGCUACGAGCCUGUGCUGUGCCGUAGGGAAGCCGUGAAACUGGCCGCCUGGGAAGUACGUCCGCAAGGAUGAAACUUAAAGGAAUUGGCGGGGGAGCACUACAACCGGAGGAGCCUGCGGUUUAAUUGGACUCAACGCCGGACAUUUCACCAGCUCCGACUACAGUGAUGACGGUCAGGUUGAUGACCUCGCCACGACGCUGUAGAGAGGAGGUGCAUGGCCGCCGUCAGCUCGUACCGUGAGGCGUCCUGUUAAGUCAGGCAACGAGCGAGAACCGCACACUUAAUUGCCAGCAUCAGGUUUCCUGGAUGGGUACAUUAAGUGGACUGCCGCUGCUAAAGCGGAGGAAGGAACGGGCAACGGUAGGUCAGUAUGCCCCGAAUGAGCUGGGCUACACGCGGGCUACAAUGGCCAAGACAAUGGGUUCCAACCUCGAAAGAGGACGGUAAUCUCCGAAACUUGGUCGUAGUUCGGAUUGUGGGCUGAAACUCGCCCACAUGAAGCUGGAUUCGGUAGUAAUCG